rnacentral:lncRNA from 1 species
GAACGUCAUUGCAAUUCUCGACGUACACGAUUGGCUCGGAUCCACACGCGCUGCCAGGGCAGGGUAUGGUCCUCUGGAAAUUCUUGACGUACUCUGCACAAUAUUCGAUUUGCGUUGAAUUGGUGUCAGUUGCAUGGCCGCUCCUCAUGUCCCUGCCGACAAUAAGGUGGGCAACGGCGUAUUCAGGAUUCCCCGGCAGGGGGCAAGAUUCGCCGAAGGCGAAAAAAUUUUUUUGUACUAAUUUCAGUGGUAAGAAAAAUUCAUCACUGAAAUAUACUUACAACCCAACAAUGAGGAAUGUAGAAAGAAUUGCAUUCUACUAUUAACUUCCAAAUCUGAGAGAAGAUGUAAAAGAAUAAAGCAAUUACGCCUAUUAAAAAUUGAAAGGGAAUCGGAAGAAGAAGAAAAGAUGAACUGGAGAAGAAAUGAAGAACCGUCAUUACCUGUUAAAACAAAAACUGAAGGUGAUGGUUUGAAUCGGACACUUAUAAGAUCUAAAAUAGAAAUAAGAACCUGCAGAAUGAAGAUAAUUAGAUGAAGCGUCUGCUUCUUCUGGAGAGUGGAGUCUUGUCGCCUGAAAAUCCAAUUUGGGAAUUUAAGGAUGCUAGGGUUAAUGUUUGGAUUUUAUUUGGGGGAAAUAUUCAAAUUGAGUUUGUAAAUUUUUAAAUGGUGAUUUUAUGAAAAGUAUACUAAACCCUUGUGAAAUUGUGCUAAACCCUUAUGAAAAGUAUACUAAAAGAAAUUUAUAUAAUAUAUAAAUAUUGUGAAAUUUAUAUAUUAACCCUUAAAAAUAUUAAUAUAUUGUGAAAAUUAUACUAAACCCCCUAUAAAAAAUUUAAUUACAUAUAGGUCCUCAAAAAAUUUCCAAAUUUUAGGGGGGGCAAUUGCCCUCCCUUGCCCCCCCUGGAUACGCCACUGCUCGUAUAAUUAUUAUUUUAAUCUCUAUUUAACAAUCAAAAUUAAGCAACUCUUAAAAUUAAACAAUAAAAAGUCAGCAAGGCAAAUCUCCAAAGAAGAUGAAAGUAUGAAACAAAUAGAAAAAGAAAAAUGUUUACUGAAAAAGAAAUUUAGAAGCUUAAAUUCAAAAAUUAAAUUUUACUCACAGAAACUUAAAUUCAAAAACAGUCCACCACAACAACAGUCCAGCAAAAGAAUCCAGAUAUUUGCAUAAAUGUGAAAUAACUAAUCCAUAAUUAAAAUGAGUGUUUCAUGAUAUUCAUCUUUCAAAAAAAAAUGACAGCAUCGUAGUGGCGUAGCCAGGAUUCCCCAUCAGGGACGGUAAGAUUCGCCGAAGACGAAUUUUUUUUUGAACUAAUUUAAAAAUAAAAUUUUGGCAUGACCUAUUUACCUUAAAUCUAAGAAUACAAUCCUACAUUCUUAAAUCCAACUAUAAAAUUAUAAAAGAAUUAAUGCAUAAAAUUAUAAAUCCUAAAAAUAAUAAAAAAGUAACAAAACCUUGGUAUUGAAGAUCUUUUUAAGCUUUCCACAAAUGACAAAUCCCUAACCCGCAAGCGUAGUCAACCUAAAAAAAAUCAGAAGGAAACAAUUUAUAAACAGAAAGAUAAGAAAGAAGAAGAAUAUCAAAGAAAAUAAGAACAAUUUUUAAACAGAAAAUAAGAAUAAUUUUUAAACAGAAAAUAAGAAUAAUUUAUAAACAGAAAAUAAGAAUAAUUUAUAAACAGUAAUCUUCAAUCCACCGAAUAUGAUAAUAUUCAGUUCAUAUAUUCUCUUUUUAUAUUUUAAUUAUCAUGUUCGUUAUUCAGUAAAAAGAUAUAGAGCACAAAAAUAGAAAAAUCAAUGAUUUAUAUUCAACCAAAACCGGAAUAGAUAUGUCAUAUAGACCACAAAAAAAAAUCACAAUAGAACCCAAGGUCCUGUUUUAUAAACCAGAGUAGAAAAAUCACAAUAGAACCCAAUUCCAGUAGAAAUAUAGAUUAUUUUUCUACUCCGAUUUUUAUAUCACCAUUGUAAAAUAUAAAACAGGAUCAAACAUCAAUAAAAUCCAUCACCAUCGUAUUAUUCGUAUAAACAUUAAACAGGAUCAAACAUUCGUAUGAUUUUCUUUUCACCCAAAUAAUAUAUAGAAACAAGAUAAACAAAUAAAUACCAGAGAAGAGAUUUCCAGAUGGGGUUCCCGGAGAAGAGAUUUCCAGCAAGGCAGCAACAACUGUGAAGAAGAGAUUCCGGGAGAAGAUUAGGGAUUUGAUCGGGGAGAAGAUUUGUGAAAACUGAACGGGGGGGAGAAGUGUGGGGGUAGAUGAAGAAGUCGAUUAUAGAAUAGAGUUAGGGAUUUAGUAAUUUAAGAGAGAAGAGACAAGACGGGAGUGAUAAA